UGCUAGAUAGUGGCAAACGGGUGAGUAACGCGUGGGUAAUUUACCUUGAAGUGGGGAAUAACCUUGCGAAAGCGAGAUUAAUACCGCAUGUGUCCCUUAGAACGCCUGUUUUAAGGGAUAAGGGUGGCGAAUUUGACGUAAGUUAGAUGCUACCGCUUUAAGAUGAGCCCGCGUCCUCUCAGCUAGUUGGUGAGGUAACGGCUCACCAAGGCGAUUGACGGGUAGCUGGUCUGAGAGGAUGGUCAGUCACACUGGGACUGAGACACUGCCCAGACUCCUACGGGAGGCUGCAGUCGAGAAUCUUGCGCAAUGGGCGAAAGCCUGACGCAGCGACGCCGCGUGAGCGAUGAAGGCCCUCGGGUUGUAAAGCUCUGUCACAUAGGAAGAAAUUUCAAAGAGUAAAUAAUUCUUUGAAAUGACGGUACUAUGAGAGGAAGCCACGGCUAACUCCGUGCCAGCAGCCGCGGUAAUACGGAGGUGGCAAGCGUUGUUCGGAUUUAUUGGGUGUAAAGGGCAUGCAGGCGGUUUUGUAAGCCCCAAUUGAAAUCCUUCCGCUUAACGGGAGAACUGGUUGGGGAACUGCAGAGCUAGAGUAUAGGAGAGGAGAGUGGAAUUCCCGGUGUAAGAGUGAAAUCUGUAGAUAUCGGGAAGAACACCAGUGGCGAAGGCGACUCUCUGGCCUAAUACUGACGCUGAAAUGCGAAAGCUAGGGGAGCGAACAGGAUUAGAGACCCUGGUAGUCCUAGCCGUAAACAAUGGGCACUAGGUGUAUCUGGCUUAGCCAGGUGUGCCGAAGUUAACACAUUAAGUGCCCCACCUGGGGAGUACGUCGGCAACGAUGAAACUCAAAGGAAUUGACGGGGGCCCGCACAAGCGGUGGAGCAUGUGGUUCAAUAGGACGCUACGCCUGGAACCUUACCAGGGCUUGACAUGCUAGAAGUAGGAGCCUGAAAGGGUACCACCCGUAUCCAGUCGGGAACUAGCACAGGUGUUGCAUGGCUGUCGUCAGCUCGUGUCGUGAGAUGUUGGGUUAAGUCCCGCAACGAGCGCAACCAUCGUCCUUAGUUACUAUCCACUUUUAGUGGAGCACUCUAAGGAGACUGCCAGCGAUAAACUGGAGGAAGGUGGAGAUGACGUCAAGUCAGUAUGGCCUUUAUGCCCUGGGCGACACACGUGCUACAAUGGCCGGUACAAAGGGUUGCUAAACUGCGAGGUGGAGCUAAUCCCAAAAAGCCGGUCUCAGUUCGGAUUGAAGGCUGCAACUCGCCUUCAUGAAGUUGGAAUCGCUAGUAACGGCGUAUCAGCCACGGUGCCGUGAAUACGUUCCCGGGCCUUGUACACACCGCCCGUCAAGUCACCUGAGUCGAGUGUACCCGAAGUCACUAUCCUAACUCGUUCGCGAGAGGGAGGUGUCGAAGGUAUGUUUGGUGAGGGGGACUAAGUCGUAACAAGGUAACC
rnacentral:rRNA from 1 species